CCUACGGGAGGCAGCAGUGAGGAAUAUUGGUCAAUGGCCGUAAGGCUGAACCAGCCAAGUAGCGUGAGGGAAGACUGCCCUAUGUGUUGUAAACCUCUUUUAUGCGGGGAUAAAGGUGUCCACGUGUGGAUGUUUGCAGGUACCGCAUGAAUAAGGACCGGCUAAUUCCGUGCCAGCAGCCGCGGUAAUACGGAAGGUCCGGGCGUUAUCCGGAUUUAUUGGGUUUAAGGGGAGCGUAGGCCGGUCUUUAAGCGUGCCGUGAAAUUUUGUGGCUCAACCCUGAGAGUGCGGCGAGAACUGGAGACCUGGAGUGUGAGGAAGGCAGGCGGAAUGCGGGGUGUAGCGGUGAAAUGCGUAGA
rnacentral:rRNA from 1 species